rnacentral:rRNA from 1 species
ACUCCUGCGGGAGGCAGCAGUGGGGAAUUUUGGACAAUGGGCGAAAGCCUGAUCCAGCAAUGCCGCGUGUGUGAAGAAGGCCUUCGGGUUGUAAAGCACUUUUGUCCGGAAAGAAAUCCUUGGCUCUAAUACAGUCGGGGGAUGACGGUACCGGAAGAAUAAGCACCGGCUAACUACGUGCCAGCAGCCGCGGUAAUACGUAGGGUGCGAGCGUUAAUCGGAAUUACUGGGCGUAAAGCGUGCGCAGGCGGUUUGCUAAGACCGAUGUGAAAUCCCCGGGCUCAACCUGGGAACUGCAUUGGUGACUGGCAGGCUAGAGUAUGGCAGAGGGGGGUAGAAUUCCACGUGUAGCAGUGAAAUGCGCAGAGAUGUGGAGGAAUACCGAUGGCGAAGGCAGCCCCCUGGGCCAAUACUGACGCUCAUGCACGAAAGCGUGGGGAGCAAACAGGAUUAGAAACCCUGGUAGUCCCA